AGGAUUAACAGAGCAUUAACUAUUUACACUAUCAUGGGAGGGACAUGGAUCCUGACUUCCUUUGCUGUACACCCACAACCUGUGGGUCAGCCUUCUUCUAUCCCAUGCCGAAGAGAGGAGGGUAGAUAUCAGCUCCACAAGAGGAGAAGCUGGAUACCGAUUUUCCAGGUAGUCUUGUGCUCUUCAGAUAGCAAUGGAUUUGUAACCCAUCAACUCUAUUUCUGAAUUCAGCUUCCAAUGAUAGAACUUCCUUCCAGAUUCUUGCAAAUGGCUCAGUUUCAGUUUACAGUACUCUAACUUUUGUCUUGUUUUAUGUCUUCAUUGCCAUUUUAAUGGUAAACUGGGAGAGUCAUAAUAAGACAGCUGACUUGAUGCUAUCAAGUCCCAGAAGUCUGUCUAUCAUUUUCAAAAGUGAAAACUAAGGUACUUGGUGAACUGAUUUGGUUUAUUCAUUAAAUUAGUAGUCGGUGACUAAGCUAAUUACCACAAUAUAAUUACGGUAAAUACUACAUUUACAUAUGGUAAAUAUUUGAUGUUCAGCAGAAAUAAUAAAUUUGUGAUUUAGUUUCAUAAAGACCUGGCCAGGGAGUGAUGUAGCUGGAAACAGAAAACCCAGGUAUUUUCUGGCUAUCAAUGUAAUCUCAAAACAUUAUGACACUUUGUUGCAAAUAUUCAUCUUUACCAAAACAAAGGUCACAUUUUCAUCCCAAUAUCAAGAAAAAAUGGAUUUAUAAAGGUGAAUUCAUUUUUUAUUUUGUUUUUACAAACACAUACAAGAUAUAAUUAAGUCUAGGCAAAGAUGAAAAGACAUUACGUAAGUAUCCGAUUUUCUCAGAGUUUCCGUUCCUUAAUUUAAAAUUAUCUUUUGGAAAGAAGAAACACAUGCAGAAAUAAGUUCAAUUUUUACACUUGAGUAAUUGUGGGCAGGAAAUAGUUUUUUAUUUUAUUUUAAAUACUUUUACUUGAGCCUCCUUCUAAAUGUACAGUUAUUUCUAAUAUUAUGAAUUGCUACAAUCAAUAAACUGUUAUGAAAUGACAAUAGAUGUUGACUAUCAUGGCAUUUGAGUGUUUAACAGCAACUUAACAUAUGUCAUUUAUAUACUGAGUGACACUAUAUUAGAAGCAAGAAAUGAAGGAUAUGUUUAGUUUUUAUAAAAUCUCAAAGAUCUAUAGUAAUUUAUUCACAAAAAAUUUAUUGCACAUAAUGAACAAUACCACAUAAAAAUACAUGUUUGAUAGCAAAAGAAUACAAGGA
rnacentral:lncRNA from 1 species